rnacentral:lncRNA from 1 species
GUCUAAUUUAAACAUUUUGAGCCUUGUUUUUAGGCUUUUUGUCAGAGGAGGUCUCUACCAGAGGGAUGACUAGAUGUAUGUGCCCGGCGGACUCGAUCUAAUACUGCAUUGCUCACACCUUGAUGAUUGAUUAUCAAAUCAUCAUACCGAUCUAAGAGUUCUCCCCUUUUAGUGUUUUCUACAACCGGCUCAAUUAGGGCCAAAUAGAUAAGCUUCACACCAACUCAAGCUAAACUCAAUCCUAAAAUCUCCGUGUCAAGCAGCUUAACAUAAAGAAAGAGGAAGAACUCCGGCCUAGCCAUCAGGCAUGAGGUCAUCAUC